CUUUGCCUAUAAGGUGAGUCUCUUGGAGACAAAAUAUUGCUGGGUCUUAUUUUUAAUCCAAUCUGCCGGUCUAUGACUUUUGAUUGAUGAGUUUAGGCCAUUUACACUCAAAGUUAUUGAUAUAUGAUUUGUAUUCCCAGUCAUUUUGGUUUACUUAUGGUUUUUAAUUUUAAUUGGUUUCUCCUUUGAUUGACUAUUCCUUUAGUGUAGUUCCUCCCCUUCCUGGUUUUCACUGUUACUUUUCAUUUUAUCUUCAUGGAAAAUUUUGUUGAGAAUGUUCUGUAGUGCCGGCUUUCUAGUUGUGAAUUCUUUUAACUUUCGUUCAUCAUGGAAGGUUUUUAUUUCCUCUUCAAAUCUGAAGCUUAAUUUUUCUGGGUAAAGUAUUCUUGGUUGGCAUCCAUUUUCUUUCAGAGCUUAGUAUAUAUUAUUCCAAGACCUCCUAGCUUUGAGAGUCUGAGUUGAGAAAACAGCCGAAAUCCAAAUUGGUCUCCCUCUAAAUGUAACCUGACAUUUUUCUCUGGCAGCCUUUAAAAUUCUAUCCUUAUUCUGUAUGCUAAGCAUUUUCAUGAUAAUGUGCCUUGGUGUGGGUCUGUUGUAAUUUUGUAUAUUUAAGGUCCUGUAAGCCUCCUGUAUUUGAUUUUCCUUUUCAUUCUUUAGGUUUGGGAAAUUUUCUGACAUAACUUCAUUGAAAAGUGCAUUCCUUUGGUUUAUAUCUCUACACCUUUAUCUAUCCUGAUAAAUCUUAAAUUUGGUCCUUUCAUUUUAUCCCAUAUUUCUUGGAAGCUCUUUUCAUGUCUCUUAACAUCUUUUCUCCAUGGUUAACUUUAUUUUCAAGAUUAUAUGUUUUUUCUUCAUUGCCUGAAAUCCUGUCUUCCAAGUGGUCUAGUCUGUUGGUGAUGCUUUCUAUUGAAUUUUUAUUUUGUUUUAUUGAUUCCUUUAUUUCAAGGACUUCUUCUUGAUUUCUUUUCAGAAUCUCUAGCUCUUUAUGAAAGUAAUCUUUCACCUCCUAAAUUUUCUCUCUGAUUUCACUCCUUACAUUGACCUUUACCUUGUGGGACAUUUUAACUAUAUACAUUUAAACUCCUUCUCUGACAUUUCUCCCACUAUGGUGGCAAUGGAUUCUGUUAUUGGGGCAUCUUGGAUUGUUUGGGGCAUUUCAUUCCCUUGUUUUUUUCAUGUUUUGUGUAUCUGCCCACUAGCAGUGUGGAUCUGAGGCAAUGCAGUUUUCUACCCUGUAGACUUAGAGUGUCCCAAAAGGUUUCCAGUACUGUGACAUUAAGGGGAAGACAAAUAAUAGCAGCAAGCAAUGCAAAUAAUAUACAGCCUUAAAUCAAAUAUCUCCUACUAAGAUACCUAUAGUUUUGUCACAAUAAACAGAAAUAAUAUGUUCAGUUAUUGCCUACAAUGAAAACAGUAAGUUUGCAAAAAAGUAUACAAUUUUAAAUAGGAGACAAAGAGAAAACAGGAAUGGUGUAGGAAGUGAUGUUUAUGAGGAAGGAGGAGAGAAGACAAAAGUAAAACUUAAAGGAAGAGUGAAAGAGGGAAUAAUAGAGGUUGGCUGGUAGCAGGAGAAAAGAGAAAGAGAAUCAUCGGAAACAGAUAAGCGAGAGAAGAAAUAUAAAGU
rnacentral:lncRNA from 1 species